ensembl:misc_RNA
UUGACAGCCCUGGAAACUGAAGUCCUCUGGGUCACCACAGAAAAGGAACAGCAUAAGCAAUGGCAGUGCAGGCUUCCCCUACACAAAACCCUGUCAGUGUGUCUCUACCCUGGCCUGCAGGGGCUGCUGCUAAUGGACAUGAGGGUAGUUCGUUCUGCAGGGCCCACACAGUCUGUGGUCACU